rnacentral:rRNA from 1 species
CAGCAGCCGCGGGAAUACGUAGGGUGCGAGCGUUAAUCGGAAUUACUGGGCGUAAAGGGCUCGCAGGCGGUUUCUUAAGUCUGAUGUGAAAGCCCCCGGCUCAACCGGGGAGGGUCAUUGGAAACUGGGAAACUUGAGUGCAGAAGAGGAGAGUGGAAUUCCACGUGUAGUGGUGAAAUGCGUAGAGAUGUGGAGGAACACCAGUGGCGAAGGCGACUCUCUGGUCUGUAACUGACGCUGAGGAGCGAAAGCGUGGGGAGCAAACAGGAUUAGAUACCCCAGUAGUCCCUGUCUCUUAUAC